CAUAGCGACUAUCGUGGCAUAUCAAUAAGCGGAGGAAAAGAAACUAACUAGGAUUCCCUUAGUAACGGCGAGUGAAGCGGGAAGAGCUCAAAUCUGAAAUCUUCAAGGUUCUACCUUGACGAAUUGUAGUUUAUAGAAGUGUUUUCUGUUAGUAGGAGUGGCAAAAGUUCUCCUGGAAUAGGACAUCAUAGAGGGUGAGAAUCCCGUAUUUGGUCAUUCCUUCUAGCUUUGUGAUACACUUUCAAAGAGUCGGAUUGUUUGGGAAUGCAGUCCAAAAUGGGUGGUAAAUUUCAUCUAAAGCUAAAUAUUGGCGAGAGACCGAUAGCGAACAAGUACCGUGAGGGAAAGAUGAAAAGAACUUUGAAAAGAGAGUUAAACAGUACGUGAAAUUGUCAAAAGGGAAGCGUUUGACACCAGUGUUGUUUUUCCGAAAAUCAAUUAUAGAAUGUUUUAUUUUCUGAGAAGUUAUGACUUCAUCGGCUUGCCUUCUCUCUUCACUGAAACUUUCGUAAUGCACUUUUCGGUUAACAAGUCAACAUCAAUUUCUUUUGUUGUAAAAGGGUAUGAGGAAGGUGGCUUUCUUUUCGGAGAAAGUGUUUAUAGCCUUGUACCUCUGCAAUCGGAGAGAUUGAGGUCUGCAGCGUAGAUCCUUCGGGGUUAGAUACAUUUGUGCUAAGUUAUAGCCUUUCAUAGACAACUUGUUGACUAUGAUUAGUCAUUGUAGCUUACUCGCUUAUGCUAUUUUACCUACGCUUAGGAUGUUGAAGAUAUGCGCGCACG
rnacentral:rRNA from 1 species